UUGAUAAUAAAAAUAUUACAAGUACAAGUUUAAGCCUUAGAAUUACAUAAUGUGUCAGCCAACAAUUGACUUCUAGGGCACAAAUCUAACAAACUCUCACUUGACCUAAAGCCAAUUGGUCAUAUACCUAUGACCCAUCUUCUCAAGGUGAGCUUCGAUCUUUUGCUGGCUCAGAGGCUUGGUCAGCAAGUCCACCAUAUUUAGCGCGG
rnacentral:lncRNA from 1 species